rnacentral:sRNA from 1 species
GCCGGGUGCAGUGGCAGGCACCUGUAAUCCCAGCUACACGGGAGGCUGAGGCAGGAGAAUCGCUUGAACUCGGGCAGCAGGGGUUGCAGUGAGCCGAGAUCGCCCCACUGCACCUCCAGCCUGGGCUAUAAAGUGAGACUCUGUCUCAA